GAUGAACGCUGGCGGCGUGCCUAACACAUGCAAGUCGAGCGGCAGCGAGGGGUGCUUGCACCCUGUCGGCGAGCGGCGGACGGCUGAGUAACGCGUGGGAACGUGCCCCAAAGUGAGGAAUAACUGCCCGAAAGGGUAGCUAAUACCGCAUAUUAUCUUCGGAUCAAAGGAUUUAUCCGCUUUGGGAGCGGCUCGCGUCGGAUUAGGUAGUUGGUGAGGUAAUGGCUCACCAAGCCGACGACCCGUAGCUGGUCUGAGAGGAUGACCAGCCAGACUGGAACUGAGACACGGUCCAGACUCCUACGGGAGGGAGCAGUGAGGAAUCUUCCACAAUGGGCGAAAGCCUGAUGAAGCAACGCCGCGUGCAGGACGAAGGCCUUCGGGUUGUAAACUGCUUUUAUAAGUGAGGAAUAUGACGGUAACUUAUGAAUAAGGAGCGGCUAACUACGUG
rnacentral:rRNA from 1 species